UACAGAGGUCUCAAGCGUUGUUCGGAUUCAUUGGGCGUAAAGGGUGCGUAGGCGGCGCGGUAAGUCGGGUGUGAAAUCUUGGAGCUUAACUCCGAAACUGCAUUCGAUGCUGCCGUGCUUGAGGACUGGAGAGGAGACUGGAAUUUACGGUGUAGCGGUGAAAUGCGUAGAGAUGUGGAGGAACACCAGUGGCGAAGGCGACUCUUUGGCCUGUAACUGACGCUGAGGCGCGAAAGCGUGGGGAGCAAACAGG
rnacentral:rRNA from 1 species